GGGAAAAGCAGCAGAUGAAUGAGAAGGAAAUGAUGGAACAUCAGCCCCACCCAGGUGCUGCUCAGGGGAACAAGGUGGUCAACGCACAACAGAGAGGGAGACUGAGCGUGGGAAGAGGCAUGUGUUCGUGCUCCACAUGUUCCCAUGAUGAGCUGGUCUGCAAAAAUAGCAGUUGCACAGCUUCAGGCUACAGACCCUUAAAUUUAGGUGCCCAUCUUUUAUGGAACAAAGGGAUCUCUAGGCCUAGAUUUAGUUUCCUAAACACAGGUAGAUAAUUAGUGCUGGAUGAUCUCUCCUGGGCUACCAAGAUAGAUGCAAUAGAUAUAAAACAGGAACAUGUAAUGGUUAUGCUCUUCUGGACCAGCAGGUGAGGUGAGAUAAGCUAGGACAUCCCAGCUGCCACUUGUUUGGGGGCAUCUGAACCAAAGGCUAGAGCUUCAUUAGUUAAAAUACGCACUUAGGAAUGUAUUUCCCAUAUAGAUACCAAUGCAUGAAGAUACAUUUUCAUCUGCACUCUGCAUCUUACUUUGAGGGUCCAGUGUCUUUCAGCUCUGUGCAGAUACCUCAUAUAACCUCAGGCACCUCAACUAGGCCAAGACACCUGUGAUAGUUUCGGUCUAGGCCUCCCUGGAGACCAGCUUGUAACCAGGGAAGUACCCUAUGCUCCCAGUAUUCCAUGCUAUCCUUUAUGUAACCAGAGGUAUAAAUGAGAAAGGAAGAGAAGCCUUCGCUCUCUUCUCUCCCGGUGAGGUUCUGGAACAGUAAGUCACCGCAUUGCUCCCACUUAUCUGGAAGCUGAGGCCUGCAGCGACUGCUGUUGCCUGCCAUGUGGGAGGUGGAGAGAUUUGACUGUGUCUGGCAACCCUGCUUUCCUUGAGGGAAGUGAGAUUUUCUCCCAGGCCUAUCAGUAAAAUGUGAGACACACCUUUGGAACAGAAGAGGUUAUAAACGGUGUGACUGCACUGGCAUAGCGAUCCUGUUUGAGGUACUUGUAUUGCCAGCACUUUGCAAAAUGUAAUUAUAUCAUAUCCAUCUGCUUUAGCAGAAAAUCAGGGGACCACUACUGUGCUGUGAAGGACAGUCCUACAUCUUUAGUCGUUCUGAGAUAUCGGUGUUAAGUGACCUGUCUUCUAAUCAAGGAUGCGAUGAUACUGCAUUUCACGCAUAAAAUCCGAGUGUACAAAUUCAUUCAACUGUCUUUAAUUUGAAAUAUGGGCAUUAGCAGUUGUACAAUU